rnacentral:rRNA from 1 species
UACGGAGGGUGCAAGCGUUGUCCGGAUUUAUUGGGUUUAAAGGGUGCGUAGGCGGUUCUUUUGAGUCCGGGGUGAAAGCCCACUGCUCAACAGUGGAACUGCCCCUGGAAACUGGCGAACUUGAGUACAGACGAGGGGCGGCGGAAAUGGAUGCUGUAGCGGUGAAAAUGCAUAGAUAGCAUCCCAGAAACCCCCCCGAUUUGCGAAAGCAGCUGCCCCUUAGACCUUGUAAACUUGAACCGUUGGAAGGGCCAACGAAAAAAA